UCUAGGACAGACAACAAAGGAAACUC
rnacentral:piRNA from 1 species